GAUGAACGCUGGCGGCGUGCUUAACACAUGCAAGUCGAACGAAGCAUUUGCGACAGAUUUUUUCGGAAUGAAGUUGCUUAUGACUGAGUGGCGGACGGGUGAGUAACGCGUGGGUAACCUGCCUUGUACUGGGGGAUAGCAGCUGGAAACGGCUGGUAAUACCGCAUAAGCGCACAAUGUUGCAUGACAUGGUGUGAAAAAAUCCGGUGGUAUAAGAUGGACCCGCGUCUGAUUAGCUAGUUGGUGAGAUAACAGCCCACCAAGGCGACGAUCAGUGGCCUACCAGCGAUAGUGACCUGCCACAUUGAGACUGUGCCACGACCCAGACUCCUACGGGUGGCGGCAGUGGGGAAUAUUACACAAUGUAGGAAGCUCUGAUGCAGCGACGCCUCGUGAGUGAAAAAGUAAUUCGUUAUGUAGAGCUCUAUAAGCAGAGAAGAUAGUGACGGUACCUUACUAAGAAGCACCGGCUAAAUACGUG
rnacentral:rRNA from 1 species